AUGGAUAUCAACCCAUCCAUCACAUGUUGGAACGUGUGAGGCCUUAACAACCCGGCGAAGAGAAAGGCGGUUAGAGAAUUUAUUUCUUCGGUGAAGUGCAACAUGGUGUGUUUGCAGGAGACUAAAUUGGAUGUAAUGGACCAAUAUAUGAUGAUGCAAUGCAUUGGACCAUCUUACAAUGGUUUUGCUUAUCUCCCGGCGAUUAAUACGUGUGGAGGUAUCGUGUUAGCGUGGGACUCCACGGUGCUCGAGGUGGACACCAUCCUCACGGAUGCACACUCACUAACCGGCCUUGUGCACAACAAGGAUGGCUUCAAAUGGUGGAUAACUGUUGUGUAUGGUCCUCAAGGAGAUGAGCAGAAACUGGCUUUUUUGCAUGAAUUACGUGAGCGUAGGGCAGGGUGCAUAGGACCGUGGAUGAUACUUGGAGACUUCAACAUGAUCCUUAGGGCGUCGGAGAAGAACAAUACCAACAUUAACCGGAGGAUGCUCAACAGCUUCAGAUCAUUGUGGAUGACAUGGAAUUGA
rnacentral:rRNA from 1 species